ACGAUUGUUACCCCGACGGUGCUUACUACUAUGUGGAGGUCGCUGAAGACCAGGAGUAGUUUAGAAGGUUCCCAGGCAGGAGGCCUCGCCUCGUUCAAUCGUUGUAUAUUUUGUGAUAGCCUUCUCUAAGGCAUUGCCAUGUUUCAUGUCUAUUUUCAGAUAUUUGUUGCUUCCGUUGACUCAUGUGUUUAUCGAGCUUCUGUAUUUUAGCCCUCGAGGCCCCUGGCUUGUAAUAUGAAGCUUGUAUGUUUUAUUUGUAUCUACAGUUUUGUUGUGAUAUCUUACCGUGAGUGCUUGAGCU
rnacentral:lncRNA from 1 species